rnacentral:tRNA from 1 species
GGUAAAAUGGCUGAAACUAGGCAAUAAACUGUAAAUUUAUUUAUGAGAAUAAAAUUCUCUUUUACCA